GCCCUGGUGGUGGAAUGGUAGACACGCUAGUCUUAGGAACUAGUGGCGAAAGUCGUGUCGGUUCGAGUCCGACCUUGGGUA
rnacentral:tRNA from 1 species